UCUCUGCCCCACCCUCCUGGGGCUUUCGGGCAUCCCAUUGGCCUGAGUGGAGUGCCAGUUAAAUAGCUACGCAAAAGACGUACUCAAGGAUACCGACUGGGGAGCUCCACCCGAGCUACUUCCGCAAUCGGAGUAAACAGCGGGAGGGCAAACCAAGUGAAGUGGGGGUGGAGAUUAAACUGAGUCAACUCCUAAAUUCAAGGCCUGGUGUCCCCUGAGAAAGACGUUCCUCCACCAACCCUUUAGCAUUCCAGGGAGUGUCUCGAGAGUGCCAGGCCAGUUCCCCUCCUUCUGGUCACCAUAGGCCCCAGAUGUUUCUAGGGCCCUAGGAAUCAGGAGAAGAAUGUUCCUGUACACGCACCCGGAGGCUUUUGCAGGAGGCGGUUGUUGGAGAACCGGGAAAACAAGCCAAGAAACAAGAGAGAGGAAGAAGACCACGCCUCGCCUGGCAGAUUCCUAAUGGCCCAGGAGACCUGAGGCUUUACUGUG